AUUGAACGCUGGCGGCAGGCCUAACACAUGCAAGUCGAGCGGAUGAAGGGAGCUUGCUCCUGGAUUCAGCGGCGGACGGGUGAGUAAUGCCUAGGAAUCUGCCUGGUAGUGGGGGAUAACGUCCGGAAACGGGCGCUAAUACCGCAUACGUCCUGAGGGAGAAAGUGGGGGAUCUUCGGACCUCACGCUAUCAGAUGAGCCUAGGUCGGAUUAGCUAGUUGGUGGGGUAAAGGCCUACCAAGGCGACGAUCCGUAACUGGUCUGAGAGGAUGAUCAGUCAACUGGAACUUAGGCACCGUCCAGACUCCUACGGGAGGCAGCAGUGGGGAAUAUUGGACAAUGGGCGAAAGCCUGAUCCAGCCAUGCCGCGUGUGUGAAGAAGGUCUUCGGAUUGUAAAGCACUUUAAGUUGGGAGGAAGGGCAGUAAGUUAAUACCUUGCUGUUUUGACGUUACCAACAGAAUAAGCACCGGCUAACUUCGUG
rnacentral:rRNA from 1 species